GACGAACGCUGGCGGCGUGCUUAACACAUGCAAGUCGAACGGAAAGGCCCUGCUUUUGUGGGGUGCUCGAGUGGCGAACGGGUGAGUAACACGUGGGUAACCUGCCCUUGACUUUGGGAUAACUUCGGGAAACGGGGGCUAAUACCGGAUAGGAGCUCCUGCUGCAUGGUGGGGGUUGGAAAGUUUCGGCGGUUGGGGAUGGACUCGCGGCUUAUCAGCUUGUUGGUGGGGUAGUGGCUUACCAAGGCUUUGACGGGUAGCCGGCCUGAGAGGGUGACCGGCCACAUUGGGACUGAGAUACGGCCCAGACUCCUACGGGAGGCAGCAGUGGGGAAUAUUGCACAAUGGGCGGAAGCCUGAUGCAGCAACGCCGCGUGCGGGAUGACGGCCUUCGGGUUGUAAACCGCUUUCGCCUGUGACGAAGCGUGAGUGACGGUAAUGGGUAAGAAGCACCGGCUAACUACGUG
rnacentral:rRNA from 1 species